rnacentral:lncRNA from 1 species
AUAAGGGAAAUAUCAGCAAUUCUGUGAUUCAACAUGCACUUUCCUUGUAAAGGAAAGCCAACAUAAAAAUACUUCUCCAUCUGAGAUCAAUAAAAAUGCCCUAAUUUUCAAAGAAAUACUCUCGUGGAGCUGUCAAGAAGAGUACUACAAAACUGCAUGCUGAAAUGUCAUUGCCUUUUGGAGAACAACAAAUUUUUCUAACACCCAGAUCAAUGUAGUGUAGAGUCUUAAUCAAUUCAGACUGAAAUUCUUUGAAGUUCUUACGCAAAAGCCAGCUGGUGGAAGUGUGUUGUAAAAAGAGCUAUCUGAAUUAUUCAUUGAGAAUAAUCUGUGUUAAGAAUUUACCCUCCCACUGCUCCACCUCCUUUUCAGGAUUUGUCUGCAAUGCAGUCCUCAUCUCUUGCAACUCCAAGACUAGAAGUCGCUAGCCUGAGAUAAUUAAAACGUGGAAUCACUCUUGCACAAAUGAUCAGGAGACAUUUAAAGAAGACAUUUUCAAGAAAAUGCUACGUAUAAAGGGAUGUGUGACAAAGUUUGAACUGGCAACAAUGUGGUGAGAACAAGAUAUUGCUGAAGAUAUGUGACCUCAAUAGAAGGUUUAUUAGAUCUUCAAAUAAACAGCCUAUCUGCAUUCUGCUUCCA